rnacentral:rRNA from 1 species
UACGGAAGGCAGCAGUGGGGAAUAUUGCACAAUGGGCGCAAGCCUGAUGCAGCCAUGCCGCGUGUAUGAAGAAGGCCUUCGGGUUGUAAAGUACUUUCAGUCGUGAGGAAGGUGUUAAGGUUAAUAACCUUAGCAAUUGACGUUAGCGACAGAAGAAGCACCGGCUAACUCCGUGCCAGCAGCCGCGGUAAUACGGAGGGUGCGAGCGUUAAUCGGAGUUACUGGGCGUAAAGGGCACGCAGGCGGUUAAUUAAGUUGGAUGUGAAAUCCCCGGGCUUAACCUGGGAAUGGCAUUCAAGACUGGUUAGCUAGAGUCUUGUAGAGGGGGUAGAAUUCCAUGUGUAGCGGUGAAAUGCGUAGAGAUGUGGAGGAAUACCGGUGGCGAAGGCGGCCCCUGGACAAAGACUGACGCUCAUGUGCGAAAGCGUGGGGAGCAAAC